CAAUAGCGUAUAUUAAAGUUGUUGCGGUUAAAGAGCUCGUAGUUGGAUUUCUGCUGAGAACGACCGGUCCGCCCUUUGGGUGUGUAUCUGGCUCUUUCUUGGCAUCUUCUUGGUGAACGUUGCUGCACUUGACUGUGUGGAGCGCUACCCAGGACUUUUACUUUGAGGAAAUUAGAGUGUUUCAAGCAGGCAUACGCCUUGAAUACAUUAGCAUGGAAUAAUAAGAUAGGACCUCGGUUCUAUUUUGUUGGUUUCUAGAGCUGAGGUAAUGAUUAAUAGGGAUAGUUGGGGGCAUUCGUAUUUAACUGUCAGAGGUGAGAUUCUUGGAUUUGUUAAAGACGGACUACUGCGAAAGCAUUUGCCAAGGAUGUUUUCAUUGA
rnacentral:rRNA from 1 species